rnacentral:rRNA from 1 species
CAGUAUUUACCGCAUGGUAGAUAUUUGAAAGGAGCAAUUGCCUCACUAUGAGAUGGACCUGCGUUGUAUUAGCUAGUUGGUGAGGUAACGGCUCACCAAGGCUUCGAUACAUAGCCGACCUGAGAGGGUGAUCGGCCACACUGGGACUGAGACACGGCCCAGACUCCUACGGGAGGCAGCAGUAGGGAAUCUUCGGCAAUGGGGGCAACCCUGACCGAGCAACGCCGCGUGAGUGAAGAAGGUUUUCGGAUCGUAAAGCUCUGUUGUAAGAGAAGAACUGUGAGAAGAGUGGAAAGUUUCUCACUUGACGGUAUCUU